rnacentral:rRNA from 1 species
AUUGAACGCUGGCGGCAGGCUUAACACAUGCAAGUCGAGCGGGGAAAGGUAGCUUGCUACCUGACCUAGCGGCGGACGGGUGAGUAAUGCUUAGGAAUCUGCCUAUUAGUGGGGGACAACAUCUCGAAAGGGAUGCUAAUACCGCAUACGUCCUACGGGAGAAAGCAGGGGACCUUCGGGCCUUGCGCUAAUAGAUGAGCCUAAGUCGGAUUAGCUAGUUGGUGGGGUAAAGGCCUACCAAGGCGACGAUCUGUAGCGGGUCUGAGAGGAUGAUCCGCCACACUGGGACUGAGACACGGCCCAGACUCCUACGGGAGGCAGCAGUGGGGAAUAUUGGACAAUGGGGGGAACCCUGAUCCAGCCAUGCCGCGUGUGUGAAGAAGGCCUUUUGGUUGUAAAGCACUUUAAGCGAGGAGGAGGCUACCGAGAUUAAUACUCUUGGAUAGUGGACGUUACUCGCAGAAUAAGCACCGGCUAACUCUGCG